AGUAUCGAGUACCUAAUAUCGAUACCUGCCCAUCACUAGUGUGUAGUGGGAUAAGUAACGAAACCUAGGCUGAAGGAGUCGUAUAAUAACGAAAACAAUAACAAUGGCUGGGUGGACAUAUGAGGAAAGGCAGGAGCUCCUUGACAGUGUCCUAAAGCUAACAAAAGAUGAGAGCAAGUCGUUCACUUCCGUUCUGAAAACAUUUGACUGGGAGAAGAUUGAGGUCGGGGAACGGACGGCUGAGGAGUGCAAAGAGGAGUUUGUGAACGUGACGAGUAAGGUGCGACGAUACAGAACUAUGGCCGAAAUCAUUGUGGAUGCCCAAGCGGCAAAGAACGAGCCGUCUUCUUUUCCAGAUCUUCCCAAGAGACCAGCGCCAGCCUAUGUGAUGUUUUUGCAGAAGAAAAGCAAAAAAUUCGUUAAGAAGGGGAUACCUUUCAAAGAAUUGCCUGUAAAAUUGGCGAAAAAGUGGCAUGACAUGGAUGCAGUUACAAAGGAACGCUACCUGAAAAAACAUCAUGUCGCGGUGGCGCAGUACAGGAUUGAAAUGGCUGAGUUUGUUAAGAAACACCCGGGUGUGGUUUUGGACAAACCGCGGGCUCCUCUGCCGAGCAACCUGUUUGCAGACGCCAGGGUGGAGAAGACACUGGAGAAGAAUCCCGAGCUGACACAUGUCCAGGCCUUACGAAAGUGUAGCAAAAAGUACCUAAAGCUGCCAAACAAAAAGAAAUUGAAGUGGAUCAAGAAAGCAAAAGCCAGCAUUGAAGCAUACAAGGCUGACUGUGACGAGUACCUGGCCAAGAGGCCCGAGUCAAAGUUUCGCCCGAUGAAAGUCAUCAUUUCGAAAGAGGAGCAAAACAUCUUGGACGAGUCUGCUGGGAAGCCGGCUGUCCCUCCCAGGAACCUGUUCAACUUCUACAUGUCCACCACUGGCCAGCCGCAGGCGGGGAUCACGCAGAAGGAGAGGAUAUCGUCCCUCCGGGCACAGUACAAGACCCUCAGCGCCUUAGAGCAGCUCACCUUGCACCAAAAGUAUGAGGAGGAAGUGAAGUCGUACUCAGAGAAGUACCAGGCGUAUUACGAGUCUCUGACGGAGGAGGAGAGAUCCACGACUAAGUCCCCCUCGGAAGAAUUGGUCCUCUUCCAGAAAAUUCGUGGACCCAAAAAGACUACCAGCCAGGUUCUGAAUGUGGGCAGCCUCUUAAACCACAAGGGCAAGAACUCUUCUACUCAGAGAACCAUUCUGGACUACGCCACCCCGAAGAAAGGAAAGGGCGCAGCGCAAGAGUCGAGCUCGUCGGAUGAGCCGGUGCAGAACUCUUCAGUGGCUGGGGUGAAGAGAAAGCUGACCGUCGACGCCAAUGUGAGCCCGAAGAAGAAAAAAAAGAAUAGUGACAACACGUCGGAUUCUGACGAGGAAGAUAUCGUGAAGUCUCAAGGGAAAGUGAAAAAAUCACCGAAGAAGAAAAAGGGGAAUAAUGACGAUACGUCAGACUCUGACGAGGAAGAAAUCGUGAAGUCUCAAGGGAAAGUGAAAAAGUCGAAGAAGAAGAAAAAGGUGAAUAAUGACGACCCGUCAGACUCUGACGAGGAAAAAAUCGGGAUGUCUCAAGGGAAAGCGAAAAAGUCUAAGAAGAAGAAAAAGGUGAACCAUGAUUUGUUGGACGUUGCUGAGGAGAAAACGGUGAAAUCACAAGGGGAAGGGGAAAAAUCACCAAAGAAAGUCAUGCAAGUCCUACCAGAAGAGUCUUCGGACAGUGAGGACUCUGAGGAUGAGAUAAAAAUCAAGAGAAAGAAAAGCAAGUUGAAAUCGCCAGAAAAACCCAAGCCGCCGGUCAAGAAAAAGAUUGUUAAAGAAGAGGAGCCGGAUAUGGAUGAUUUGUUGAGUUUUUAGUUUUUUCUUUGAUUGAGACUGGUGCAGAUGAUUUGUUGAGUUUUUAGGUUUUUCUUUGAUUGAGACUGGUGCGGGUGAUUUGUUGAGUUUUUAGGCUUACGACUGAGACAGGGGUAGAUGAUUUGAUUUUUUAGGCUGUCCUUGAUUGAUGCUUGUGCGAAUGAUUUUUUGAGUUUGAAAUUGGUACAGAUGAUUUGUUGUGUUUUUGAGCUCUUGAUCGAGGCUUGAUAUAUGAAUGAUUUGUUAAGUGUUUAGGCUUUCUACUGAAGCAGGUAUGUGUGGAUGAUUUAUUGAGUUUGAAAUGAAAUUGGGACGGGUGAUUUGUUGAGUUUUUAGUCUCUUUGAUUCAGACUGUGUAUGGAUGAUUUGUUGAGAUUUUAGACUCUUUGUUUGAUACUGAUGCGGAUGAUUUUUAUUUUGAGUUUUUCAAUCUCCUUGAUUGAGGCUGGAUGUGGUUGUUUUACCAAGUUGUGCCUAAAAAAAAGUUUUGAAACAGCUGUGUGAAUUGUGGCAUCAUUAGUUUUUACCCCAAUCCCUGUUUUGUAUCCUAUUCCUGUGUACUUUUGAUUGCUGGAGCUAGUGGAAGUUCAAUUAUUAUUAUAACACAUAGCAUUGCGUUGCACAUUUCCAUUGUUUACAAUGCUCAAUGCGCUGUACAAGACAUUAAUUGAUAGCCUCUAAUGGCUAUAUAUAUAGGCAGCACUCAAGCACAAGGGCAUAUGAAAUGACACAUGUAUAUAUAUAUAUAUAUAUAUACAGUGCAGCCUCUCUAUAACGACAUCCUCUGUAUAUAUAGCAACAUGGUGCCGAGGUCCCUAUUUUUUCCUUAUAUGCCAUUAGUAACUUUUGGUUGCCUCUCAUAACAACUUUUUCUGGUCCCUACGAUGUGGUUAUAGAGAGGCUGCACUGUAUGUCAACGUAAUAGGAUGCGUUUUUCUGAAUAAUUUUUGUAUGAUUUCAAUCCUUUGGACGUGUAUGGGGAACAUUUUGAAGGCUAGGUAGGUGUUUGGCUUAGUGGUCGGAGUUGGAAUGAUAGGGACAAAAAAGUAGAGACUGUAGAUCAAAGUGUGUGUCUGAGUCUGAGCAUAAAUGUUUGAGUUUGGCUGUUUUGUUGUGGUCGGAGGGCUGUUUUCUUUUUGUUACACCCCAACCCACUUGGGGAGAGAGAUAAUAUGUACAUGAUUUAAUAUCGGUAACAUUCAUGAUUGUUUCGAUCCUGAUGUUCGUUGGUGUUAUAUUUUAAAUAUUAUUUUCCUGUGUAAAUAUGUAUAAAACAAAAUUUAUAUUUUCAAGAGAUUGAGAGAAAUGUAGGUGUAACACUUUGCCGCCUCAAUGCUCAUAUAGUAAAACAAACUCUUGUCAUCAAAGGCAAAGGCAUUUUGGGGAAAAUCCAAAGAAACUGGGUGGUACUGGCAGACAUCGCCGAUCGGCGAGAUGAGGUGGCUAAGUGUUUUUUAAAAAAAAUAUUUCCCCAUUUCUUUCCCUGUUGAUUGUUGUGUUUCUAAUUCUAGUCUUUGUUUUAUGUUUAGCCUCAGAUUUUCUCACUGCUAGACUGUAACUGGAAGUGUAUGUGCUAGACUGUAACUGGAAGUGUAUGUGCUAGACUGUAACUGGAAGUGUAUGUGCUAUACUGUAACUGGAAGUGUAUGUGCUAGACUGUAACUGGAAGUGUAUGUGCUAGACUGUAACUGGAAGUGUAUGUGCUAGACUGUAACUGGAAGUGUAUGUGCUAGACUGUAACUGGAAGUGUAUGUGCUAGACUGUAACUGGAAGUGUAUGUGCUGACUGUAACUGGAAGUGUAUAUGCUAGACUGUAACUGGAAGUGUAUGUGCUAGACUGUAACUGGAAGUGUAUGUGCUAGACUGUAACUGGAAGUGUAUGUGCUAUACUGUAACUGGAAGUGUAUGUGCUGACUGUUACUGGAAGUGUAUGUGCUAUACUGUAACUGGAAGUGUAUGUGCUUACUGUAACUGGAAGUGUAUGUGCUGACUGUAACUGGAAGUGUAUGUGCUGACUGUAACUGUGGGGGGCUUUUUUCUCUCUUGUGUAGAUGUCAGUAUGAGAUGGGGAUUAUGUACCACAUAUUCAUGUUGUGGUACUAGAGCCUAAUAAUUUGAUGUGUAUUAAGGUCAUAUGCCAUUCAAUUCCUAUCCCCCCUUCCAACCAAAAAGUCAAUUUCUA
rnacentral:misc_RNA from 1 species